AGUAAAUCAAAAAAGCAUUUAAAUGACCAGAAUGUUUGAGAUUUUACUUUUGAGUCUUGCUAUUCGUUUAUGUAUAGAGUUACAUUGUCUUCAUAUUCAAUAUAAAUGCUCGGUAUGGCCUAUGCUGGUAAACAUAUAGACUUCGAUAUAGCAUGUAGCUUGCUUAUGAGAGACUACGCGAAGCGCGGCGCAUACCUUGGCGACUUUGAAAAGUUUGUCUUGAAAACAGAGAAUUUUUGGUGCAAGAGAAAUUCCAGCAGAAUUUCGACUCUCCUUUUACCGUAUCUCCUAAUAUAUCCAUUCCAAAGCUUGGUAGAAUUCCCAAAUAUUUAAAUUUUUUAUUGUUUUAUAUGUAAAACAUCUCAUUAAUUAUAUCACAUUCGUCCACUUUUCCA
rnacentral:lncRNA from 1 species